CAACCGUAAACUAUGCGCGUUAGGUGUAUCGGUGACCACGAGUUACCGAGGUGCCGAAGGGAAACCGUGAAACGUGCCGCCUGGGAAGUACGGUCGCAAGGCUGAAACUUAAAGGAAUUGGCGGGGGAGCACCACAACAGGUGGAGCCUGCGGUUUAAUUGGACUCAACGCCGGGAAGCUCACCGGAUAGGACAGCAGAAUGAUUGCCGGGCUGAAGACCCUGCAUGACUAGCUGAGAGGAGGUGCAUGGCGUCAGUGACU
rnacentral:rRNA from 1 species